GGUCUUUUCGCCUCUGCAAUCAAGCUCUCCCAAUAAACGUGUGCAGAAGGAUCCUGUUGUGGCGUCAUUCUUGCUGGCGAGUCAAGCGUGCACAAGAACUGCUAACAGGUGAUGUUUAGGAGUAUAUAUAGACCUGCCAAGAGACACAGAGAAGGAAAGGCCUCUGGGCAACCAGGCUAGAAGGAUGGCAACCUCCAGGGGGCCUGUUUUCCUCCUCCUCCUCCUCCUGUACCUGCUUCAGAUGUCAGACACUUCCUUGAUAAAGCUGAAUGAGAAUGGUUAUGAAGACAUCAUUAUUGCCAUUGAUCCUGCUGUGCCAGAAGAUACAACAAUAAUUGAACGCAUGAAGGAAAUGGUGACUAAAGCAUCUACAUACCUUUUUGAAGCUACAGAAAAAAGAUUUUUCUUCAAAAAUGUAUCUAUAUUAAUUCCUGAGAGUUGGAAAGACAGUCCCCAUUACAGAAGGCCAAAACGGGAGAGUUACAAGCAUGCUGACAUUAAAGUGGCACCUCCCGCCUUCAUGGGCAGAGAUGAGCCCUACACCAGGCAGUUCACACAGUGUGAAGAGAAAGCAGAAUACAUCCACUUCACCCCUGACUUUGUACUGGGAAGAAAACAAGAUGAAUAUGGAGAUUCAGGUGGAGAAUUUGGUUAAAGCAUUGCAUGUUUGUGACACGUAACUCUAUACUCUAUUAAAUAAUCAGAUUGGAAC